rnacentral:lncRNA from 1 species
UGCAAGUCUUGGCAUUGGCAGAACGUCUGAAAAUGCCCCUAGUAGAGGGACCUUCAUGGUACAGCAGGAGCAGCAUAUCCAUGAUUGGCUUGGGAAGGAUCCCAUCAGGACAGACAGAGGACAGAGACAUGCCGAAGAGUUUCUGUGGGGUGGUAGGUGACUGCAAAGGAGGGCUGUCUGUGGGUGCACUGGUGCUGCGCCGCAGGGCCCAGUCAAUCAAGGACUUCUUCCUCUUGGUGUGCUUCUGUAGUGACUCUAAAAGAAAACAUACAUUCAUUACACAUAUAGCUGUCAUUCCUACUGGCCAGUGACUGACAUGCAGCAGAGGCAGAGAUCCCAGCAAAUCAAGGACUUUCUACCAACUCAUCGAAAAUAACUUCAUUGUUAAUGAGGAUGGUCAGGGGAUACACAGCAGUUAAGCCACCUGUUCAUCUUACAGUCAUCAACAAAACUCUUAUUCAC